UACGUAGGGUGCGAGCGUUGUCCGGAAUUAUUGGGCGUAAAGAGCUUGUAGGCGGUUUGUCGCGUCUGCCGUGAAAAUUCGAGGCUCAACCUCGAACUUGCGGUGGGUACGGGCAGACUAGAGUGUGGUAGGGGAGACUGGAAUUCCUGGUGUAGCGGUGAAAUGCGCAGAUAUCAGGAGGAACACCGAUGGCGAAGGCAGGUCUCUGGGCCACUACUGACGCUGAGAAGCGAAAGCAUGGGGAGCGAGCAGG
rnacentral:rRNA from 1 species